GACGAACGCUGGCGGCGUGCCUAAUACAUGCAAGUUGAGCGAUGAAGCUUGGUGCUUGCACCAAUUUGAAGAGCAGCGAACGGGUGAGUAACGCGUGGGGAAUCUGCCUUUGAGCGGGGGACAACAUUUGGAAACGAAUGCUAAUACCGCAUAACAACUUUAAACAUAAGUUUUAAGUUUGAAAGAUGCAAUUGCAUCACUCAAAGAUGAUCCCGCGUUGUAUUAGCUAGUUGGUGAGGUAAAGGCUCACCAAGGCGAUGAUACAUAGCCGACCUGAGAGGGUGAUCGGCCACAUUGGGACUGAGACACGGCCCAAACUCCUACGGGAGGCAGCAGUAGGGAAUCUUCGGAAAUGGACGAAAGUCUGACCGAGCAACGCCGCGUGAGUGAAGAAGGUUUUCGGAUCGUAAAACUCUGUUGGUAGAGAAGAACGUUGGUGAGAGUGGAAAGCUCAUCAAGUGACGGUAACUACACAGAAAGGGACGGCUAACUACGUG
rnacentral:rRNA from 1 species